AUCCAGCCUCUGGACUGAAGACAAAUAUGGCUUCAAUGCUCAAGGGAAGCUGUACCGUGGAAAUGGAGCAAGUAAUGAUAAGCCUGCAUGAACAGUCACCUGCCUGGCCUCUCUAACAAGGCCAGAUUCCUUAAUGUCAGAGAUAUAAAUCCAUGACCUAAAUGUUCACCGAUCUUAUUUCUCAGUUACACCAAAAGAAGAAAAGUUGGUUUAAAAGAAAACUGUCGCAACAAAGAGGAUAGAACUGGUACCUGCAGCUUGAUAUGCACUGCCCUCGCCCAUCACCAAAUCACGUCCUGGGAAAGUAUCUGUAUUACUACAAACAUUACUACAAAUAGAGAACCCAUUCCAUGGCAGUCACAUGCACCCUGAAACAACAUUCCUGGUUAUAUAAUGUAGCCAAUCAACUUUCAAAUCACAAAUCAGGGCAAAUUCAAUUAUAGGAAAUUCAUAUACUUAAUCUAAAGGAUGUUAGCAACAAAACAUGAAGUGUGCUUAUGUUAUACUCUUUCUGAAGAUAUUAGUUCACUUUGUGGUUAAAUAUAAACUGAAAAGUCACUGGGCAAUGUAAUUAAAAUUAUUACAGAGAGACUUCCAGGGAAACUAUGCUGGACCUAUGACCUCCUUGGCAAGGUCCUUAAGGCCAUCUGUUGCUUCUUCCAUACUGAUGGUCUCAUUAUUGAACACUGAAAACUGCCACUGUUUCUUAGCACAAGUAACUACAGAUAAUGGCUGUCUACACAGUAACACAUGGAACAUGCAAUGGCAUCGGAAAGAGAGAUAAUGUUAAACAUAUAUUUAAAAUUAAGUAUGAAUGUUAUUACCACCAUC